rnacentral:rRNA from 1 species
GAUGAACGCUAGCGACAGGCUUAACACAUGCAAGUCGAGGGGCAGCGGGGUGUGGCAACACAUUGCCGGCGACCGGCGCACGGGUGAGUAACGCGUAUGCAACUUGCCUAUCAGAGGGGGAUAACCCGGCGAAAGUCGGACUAAUACCGCAUAAAACAGGGGUUCCGCAUGGGGAUAUUUGUUAAAGAUUCAUCGCUGAUAGAUAGGCAUGCGUUCCAUUAGGCAGUUGGCGGGGUAACGGCCCACCAAACCGACGAUGGAUAGGGGUUCUGAGAGGAAGGUCCCCCACAUUGGUACUGAGACACGAACCAAACUCCUACGGGAGGCAGCAGUGAGGAAUAUUGGUCAAUGGCCGGGAGGCUGAACCAGCCAAGUCGCGUGGAGGACGAAGGUCCUAUGGAUUGUAAACUUCUUUUGUGCGGGAAUAAAGUCGGGGACGCGUCCCCGUUUGCAUGUACCGCACGAAUAAGCAUCGGCUAACUCCGUGCCAGCCGCCGCCGUAA